rnacentral:lncRNA from 1 species
GGAAAUACGUCACUAGCUCGCUUUAUUUAAGGCCGAGCCUCGCUGCGCCCUGUCCUUUGUGCCGCAGUAUCGGUGAGUGAGCAGUGCGUUUUCUGGUUAUCAAGUUUUCCGGCCUACUGUCGCUGGGAUCCCGCCAUUAGAUUGCCAGCUCUGCGGCCCACUGCCCCGGGGAUCCCACCAUUAGAUUGCCAGCUCUGCGGCCCCACUGCCCCGGGGAUCCCACCAUUAGAUUGCCAGCUCUGCGGCUCCACUGCCCCGGGGAUCCCGCCAUUAGAUUGCCAGCUCUGCGGCCCACUGCCCCGGGGAUCCCAAUAUUAGAUUGCCAGCUCUGCUGCCCCCUGCCCCGGGGAUCCCAAUAUUAGAUUGCCAGCUCUGCGGCCCACUGCCCCGGGGAUCCCGCCAUUAGAUUGCCAGCUCUGCGGCCCACUGCCCCGGGGAUCCCGCCAUUAGAUUGCCAGCUCUGCGGCCCACUGCCCCGGGGAUCCCAAUAUUAGAUUUCCAGCUCUGCGGCCCACUGCCCCGGGGAUCCCAAUAUUAGAUUGCCAGCUCUGCGGCCCACUGCCCCGGGGAUCCCGCCAUUAGAUUGCCAGCUCUGCGGCCCACUGCCUGGUUGUCCCACCAUUAGAUUGCCAGCUUUUUGCGGCCCACUGCCCUGGGGAUUCCGCUAUCAGAUCACAAGCUCUGCAGCCUUUGCCAGCGUGUUUGUGUUGGCCUUUAGAGUGCAAGCUCUGUAGCCCAGCUCUGGGAUCUUAAUCUGAGUUGAUUACCAUGAUCCAAAGGGUAAAUUAAUUCUCUCACUUGAGCAUAAUAAACAUGGCAGCUGUUCACUUACAUGAUGAUUUCUAGUGCGUUAGACUUCUGAAUCUGAUGAAGUAACUAAAAAAUCUGAUGUCUGUUGCCUUGUGUGCUACUUAGUAGACCGAGCCCUAUAUUAUAACAAAUCACUAAUUCCUGACUUACUUUUCUCUUUCAGACCAGAAGAAACCACCAAGCUGCUAUGGACCUUAUGGGAUUACACUGAUCAGCCACAACAUUAAAACCACUGACAGGUGAAGUGAACAAGAUUGAGUAUAGCUGUACAACGGCACCUGUCUCAAGGGGUGGGAUGAAUUAGGCAGCAGAGAAGUCAGAUCUUGAAUUUUAUGUGUUGGAAGCAGAUAAAAUGGGCAAGGGAAAAGAUCUGAGUGACUUUGAGAAGGGCCAAAUAGUGAUGGCUAGACGAGUGGGUCAGAGCAUCUCCAAAACGGCUCAUCUUGUGGGGUGUUCCCGCUAUGCAGUGGUUAGUACCUACCAAAAGUGGUGCAAGGAAGGAGAACCAGUGAACCGGCGUCAGGGUCAUGGGCGUCCAAGGCUCAUUGAUGCACAGGAAGAGCAAAGGCUAGUCAGUCUGGUCGAAUCACACAGAAGAGCUACUGUAGCUCAAAUUGCUGAAAAACUUAAUGCUGACCAUGAUAGAAAGGUGUCAGAACACACAGUGCAUCGCAGCUUGCUGCGUAUGGGGCUGCGUUGUCGCAGACCGGUCAGUGCCAAUGAUGACCCCUGUCCACCACCACCCAAAGAGCCUUUACCGGAGACGUGAGCGUCCGAACUGGACCAUAGAAGAAUGUUGGCUGGUUUGAUAGUUUCUUUAGAUUAGUUGGAUGGCUGUGUCGUUUAUCUGGGGACAAGAAGGCAGCGGGAUGCAGUAUGGUGAGAAUACAGGCUGGUGUCUUCCUGUUAGAACUUAUUAUAAUAAAGGUAUAAUUUCACUGAUCUGAGUCCUGUUUCUUUAUUUACUCCAAGCACUGUCUUUGAACC